rnacentral:rRNA from 1 species
GACGAACGCUGGCGGCGUGCCUAAUACAUGCAAGUCGAACGCAGUGGGGACGGGUGAGUAACACGUGGGUAACCUCCCAUCAGAGGGGAUAACACUUGGAAACAGGUGCUAAACCGAUACUGAUGGAUGGACCCGCGGUGCAUUAGCUAGGUGGGGAGGUAACGGCUCACCAAGGCAACGAGUCAUAGCGAACCUGGUAGGGUGAUAGACCACCCUGGGACUGAGACACGGUCCAGAUUCCUACGGGAGGCUGCAGUAGGGAAUCUUCGGCAAUGUACGAAAGUCUGACCGAGCAACGCCGCGUGAGUGAAGAAGGUUUUCGGAUCGUAAAACUCUGUUGUUAGAGAAGCGGUAUCUAACCAGAAAGCCACGGCUAACUACGUGCCAGCAGCCGCGGUAAUUC